rnacentral:sRNA from 1 species
UGGUUGACAAAACGGAUAGGGAUGCGGC